rnacentral:rRNA from 1 species
UACGUAGGGGGCAAGCGUUGUCCGGAUUUAUUGGGCGUAAAGAGCGUGUAGGCGGCCUGAUAGGUCAGCUGUGAAAACUCGAGGCUCAACCUCGAGACGUCGGUUGAAACCAUCUGGCUAGAGUCCGGAAGAGGAGAGUGGAAUUCCCGGUGUAGCAGUGAAAUGCGUAGAGAUCGGGAGGAACAUCUGUGGCGAAGGCGGCCACCUGGACCAACACUGACACUGAGGCACGAAAGCGUGGGGAGCAAACAGG